CUACGGGGCGCUGCAGUGAGGAAUAUUGCACAAUGGGGGGAACCCUGAUGCAGCAACGCCGCGUGGAGGAUGACGCAUUUCGGUGUGUAAACUCCUUUUAUAUGUCAAGAAAAUGACGGUAGCAUAUGAAUAAGCGCCGGCUAACUCCGUGCCAGCAGCCGCGGUAAUACGGAGGGCGCAAGCGUUACUCGGAAUCACUGGGCGUAAAGGACGCGUAGGCGGGUUGAAAAGUCAGGUGUGAAAGCCUACAGCUUAACUGUAGAACUGCACUUGAAACUCUCAACCUAGAGUAUGGGAGGGGCAGAUGGAAUUAGUGGUGUAGGGGUAAAAUCCGUAGAUAUCACUAGGAAUACCUAAAGCGAAGGCGAUCUGCUGGAACAUUACUGACGCUAAGGCGUGAAAGCGUGGGGAGCAAACAGGAUUAGAUACCCCGGUAGUC
rnacentral:rRNA from 1 species